rnacentral:rRNA from 1 species
UACAGAGGGUGCGAGCGUUAAUCGGAUUUACUGGGCGUAAAGGGCGCGAAGGCGGUGAGAUGAGUGUGAUGUGAAAGCCCCGAGCUCAACUUGGGAAGUGCAUCGCAAACGAUCUGACUGGAGUAUAUGAGAGGGUGGCGGAAUUUCCGGUGUAGCGGUGAAAUGCGUAGAGAUCGGAAGGAACGUCAAUGGCGAAGGCAGCCACCUGGCAUAAUACUGACGCUGAGGCGCGAAAGCGUGGGGAGCGAACGAGG